rnacentral:rRNA from 1 species
UGAGCAAUCUGCCCUUCUCAUCGGAAUAAGCGUUGGAAACGACGUCUAAUGCCGAAUACGACCUCCUUUCGCAUGAUCGGAGGUGGAAAGCUCCGGCGGAGAAGGAUGAGCUCGCGGCCUAUCAGCUAGUUGGUGUGGGUAAUGGCUCACCAAGGCGACGACGGGUAGCCGGCCUGAGAGGGCAAUCGGCCACACUGGGACUGAGACACGGCCCAGACCUCUACGGGAGG